CCUACGGGGGGCAGCAGUGAGGAAUAUUGGUCAAUGGACGAGAGUCUGAACCAGCCAAGUAGCGUGAAGGAUGACUGCCCUAUGGGUUGUAAACUUCUUUUAUAUGGGAAUAAAACGUUCCACGUGUGGGAUUUUGUAUGUACCAUAUGAAUAAGGAUCGGCUAACUCCGUGCCAGCAGCCGCGGUAAUACGGCGGAUCCGAGCGUUAUCCGGAUUUAUUGGGUUUAAAGGGAGCGUAGGUGGAUUGUUAAGUCAGUUGUGAAAGUUUGCGGCUCAACCGUAAAAUUGCAGUUGAAACUGGCAGUCUUGAGUACAGUAGAGGUGGGCGGAAUUCGUGGUGUAGCGGUGAAAUGCUUAGAUAUCACGAAGAACUCCGAUUGCGAAGGCAGUUCACUGGACUGCAACUGACACUGAGGCUCGAAAGUGUGGGUAUCAAACAGGAUUAGAUACCCCAGUAGUC
rnacentral:rRNA from 1 species